CGGUUUAAAAACCAGGCCAGGUUUUUCUCCAAGAGGAGCCACUCCCGGGCCAAGUUAGCCGGUGAGAGGGAGAUAGGCGCGCGCCGACGUUGCUCUCAGCAUCAGGACCUUAAAGGUGCCUGGUUUUCUACACUGAUGCAGAAGAAAAUCUUCAAAUCAACUUAGCAGAGACAAAUCUUCCAGUCACAUAAAGCCACCUCCCACGUCCUUGCCAAUAAAGGCAGCCAGCAGCAACAGAAGCCACGAGGUGUCAGCAAGAGGAAUUUAAAGGCCACCAGAGGGAACACAGAGGGUGGCUCAGAUGAGGGAACACAGAAGCCAGUCGCUGCAUAGGAAGGAAGUUGGCUUUAAACAAUUCUGCUGAAAUUCUUCCAUGUUACUCCUCCAACUGGGCACACAGGUUUGUUGUUAAUAUAUAAGUAUAUUGACUGGAAGGAUAUACAUACACAGCAUUAAAAUAGUUGACUUGUGGCUUCCAAAGGGGGCAGGGUAGAAUUGGGAGUUUGAGAUUAGCUGAUGCAAACCAUUAUACACAGGAUGGAUAAACAACAAGGUCCUACUGUAAAGCCCAGGGAAGGAUAAUCAAUAGCCUGUGAUAAACCAUAAUGGAAAAGAAUAUGAAAAAGAAUAUAUAUAUAUAUGUUUAACUAAGUCACUUACUAUACAGCAGAAAUUAACACAGCAUUGUAAAUCAACUAUACACUUUUCUAAAUAAAAUGUAGCCUUUUACUUUAGUUUCACAAUGAGAAGAUAAUGAAUAAAAUUGAAGAUUGCUAUUAUAUAUCUGAGAGCCUAACAGGCUAAGAUUGUCAGCACAAUAAUCUCUUGAUCAAACCAAGAAGUCAUAGCUAAUUCUCUUCAAUUCCUGGUUCAGUUUGUGAAUGUGUAUGUUAAAAGUCAAAACAAAGGACUAGCAGAAGCCCAGGUCACAAAUUUAAAAGUCAAGAAUUAUAUUUGUUUGUAAUCUCUAAAUCACUUGAAAUCCAACUCCACACCCCUGUCUUUUUUUUCCUCAUGGUUUUUAUAUAUAUAUAUAUAUUUUUUUUUAAUUGAAGGAUAAUUGCUUUACACUGUUUUGUUGGUUUCUGCCCUACAACAUCGUGAAUCAGCUAUAAAUACACAUAUGUCCCCUCCCUCUUGCCAUGCGCCUUUCUGAAAGCCUGGAAAGAAAUUAGUAAUAGUUGGGGCCCCACCCACACAAGACUGAACCUUGUGUCUUGAUUAUCACUAAGAUUCUGGAGGGCACCUCUCAUCAGUCAU
rnacentral:lncRNA from 1 species